rnacentral:rRNA from 1 species
AGCAGCCGCGGUAAUUCCAGCUCCAAUAGCGUAUAUUAAAGUUGUUGCAGUUAAAAAGCUCGUAGUUGAAUUUCGGGAUCAAUAUAUCGGUCGUGCCUUUGGUACGUACUGGUAUCAUUGAUUUCUCCUUUCUGACGAAUCAUGAUGUCAUUAAUUUGGUGUUAUGAGGAGUUAGGACUGUUACUUUGAAAAAAUUAGAGUGUUUAAAGCAGGCUCACGCUUGAAUACAUUAGCAUGGAAUAAUGAAAUAGGACGUUUGAUUCUAUUUUGUUGGUUUCUAGGAUCGACGUAAUGAUUAAUAGGGAUAGUUGGGGGCAUUAGUAUUCAAUUGUCAGAGGUGAAAUUCUUGGAUUUAUUGAAGACUAACUACUGCGAAAGCAUUUGCCAAGGAUGUUUUCAUUAAUCAAGAACGAAAGUUAGGGGAUCGAAGACGAUCAGAUACCGUCGUAGUCUUAACCAUAAACUAUGCCGACUAGGGAUCGGAUGAUGUUAAUUUUUAAUGACUCAUUC